CAUCAGCCCUCUCCGCAUCUAUCCUGAUGUGUACAUUGGAUUGCGACACCAACAUAUGGUGACCCCCGACGUGAUCCAAGAUAGGUGGCAUUAUUGAGGAUGGUACAUCAGCUGCAGAAAGAUAUAUUGGUCAAACUCAGAACCAUAUGGCCCAACAAAGGCCGCAUUACACACAUCUGUUUUGACACAACAUCGUGGCAAACUGUGGAUUAAAACGUCCUUAUACGGAUAUCUGGGAGGGCCCUUUUAUGGUUAAAUGUGGGAAGAGAGGAGCUCUUUGUGUUUUGAAGAUAAAGGCGUUGAGUGCAUUCCAUCAAAACGCACACAGCCUGCUCUGGAAUAACUGGAAAAUGGACAAACGGGAUGCCUUCAGAGCCAUGCACCCAAAGCUUGACAUUGUGCAGUUAUUCCUUAAGCCCCUGCUCAUUGGAGAGCUUAUCCCAGAAGAGGCCAUCCAGGAGAGAAACAAAAAUAUCUUGAUUUUGGAAGCACUGGCUUGGUUAAUACUGUGACAUUUUGGAAAAUGGCUGGCUUAUUACGAUAUUCAUUUCCUUUCUUCUCACAAUUUCUCAGGUUCAGGGUGAAUUUUUACAGGACACCAAUCCAUAUUUAAGAAGUGCAAGUAGAACCACCUGAUGCACGACUUUGUGAUGUGUCAUCUCAAGGUACCAGAUGUUCGAGGAAUAUGCUGGGAUUCUUGAAUGUCAUUUCCUAAGGCACAGGCUUUGAGAACUUCUGUCCCAUGAAUCAUCCUAUGACCUGGCUGUGGGGACAAGUUUGAGAAGCUCAAAUACUUUAUUUUGACUUUGGAGAUGCAUGAAGAAAACUGCGAUAGUAAAGGAUAUUUCAGGAGAGAAAUCUUGUGGCUAAUCAACCCUCUCUUAUCCUCAGCGCAUAUCGAGAAAGUGGUGGAAUUAUGCACACUUCCAGCAUCAUGUAAAACCAAACAUCUACUACAAAGACCCAGAUAUUAAUUUGGUACCACUAUUUCUGGUUGGAGAUUUGCAACCUGUCAAGAAACCACUGCCCAAGUGCCUUGAAGACACUUAGAGACACCAGCUCUAAUAUGGACUUCUUCAACUACAGAAAACAAAAUGGAAAACUCAACUCUAGAAACUCUCCACACAUUGAUUUUUUUUUUAAACCUCAACUUAAAGUCAUCAUGUCAAGAACAAUUGCUAAGGUUUUUAGUAGUUAAUCUUCUUUCAAGAAAUGAGAUUUAGGGACAACCACAGAAGUAUCUCUUCUCAUGGGUAAAUGAUGAAUCAUGAGGAUCAGGUACUUAGGAAGAGGGUGCUGUCUCUUUCUAGAAGAAUUUAGGAGUUUUAUAAAAAUAAAAG
rnacentral:lncRNA from 1 species